rnacentral:pre_miRNA from 1 species
CACUUUAGAUGUAAGAUCGUCAUUUAGUUAUGACAUAUCUAUACCUCACUUCUCAAAAUCAUUUAUUAUCACAAAUCCAGUUACAUCAAGUCUCAUGGCUCCACUUGAAGUUCAUCAACCCAUACCACAAUAAAGGCUAAUAU